GACGAACGCUGGCGGCGUGCCUAAUACAUGCAAGUCGAACGAACUCUGGUAUUGAUUGGUGCUUGCAUCAUGAUUUACAUUUGAGUGAGUGGCGAACUGGUGAGUAACACGUGGGAAACCUGCCCAGAAGCGGGGGAUAACACCUGGAAACAGAUGCUAAUACCGCAUAACAACUUGGACCGCAUGGUCCGAGUUUGAAAGAUGGCUUCGGCUAUCACUUUUGGAUGGUCCCGCGGCGUAUUAGCUAGAUGGUGGGGUAACGGCUCACCAUGGCAAUGAUACGUAGCCGACCUGAGAGGGUAAUCGGCCACAUUGGGACUGAGACACGGCCCAAACUCCUACGGGAGGCAGCAGUAGGAAAUCUUCCACAAUGGACGAAAGUCUGAUGGAGCAACGCCGCGUGAGUGAAGAAGGGUUUCGGCUCGUAAAACUCUGUUGUUAAAGAAGAACAUAUCUGAGAGUAACUGUUCAGGUAUUGACGGUAUUUAACCAGAAAGCCACGGCUAACUACGUGCCAGCAGCCGCGGUAAUACGUAGGUGGCAAGCGUUGUCCGGAUUUAUUGGGCGUAAAGCGAGCGCAGGCGGUUUUUUAAGUCUGAUGUGAAAGCCUUCGGCUCAACCGAAGAAGUGCAUCGGAAACUGGGAAACUUGAGUGCAGAAGAGGACAGUGGAACUCCAUGUGUAGCGGUGAAAUGCGUAGAUAUAUGGAAGAACACCAGUGGCGAAGGCGGCUGUCUGGUCUGUAACUGACGCUGAGGCUCGAAAGUAUGGGUAGCAAACAGGAUUAGAUACCCUGGUAGUCCAUACCGUAAACGAUGAAUGCUAAGUGUUGGAGGGUUUCCGCCCUUCAGUGCUGCAGCUAACGCAUUAAGCAUUCCGCCUGGGGAGUACGGCCGCAAGGCUGAAACUCAAAGGAAUUGACGGGGGCCCGCACAAGCGGUGGAGCAUGUGGUUUAAUUCGAAGCUACGCGAAGAACCUUACCAGGUCUUGACAUACUAUGCAAAUCUAAGAGAUUAGACGUUCCCUUCGGGGACAUGGAUACAGGUGGUGCAUGGUUGUCGUCAGCUCGUGUCGUGAGAUGUUGGGUUAAGUCCCGCAACGAGCGCAACCCUUAUUAUCAGUUGCCAGCAUUAAGUUGGGCACUCUGGUGAGACUGCCGGUGACAAACCGGAGGAAGGUGGGGAUGACGUCAAAUCAUCAUGCCCCUUAUGACCUGGGCUACACACGUGCUACAAUGGAUGGUACAACGAGUUGCGAACUCGCGAGAGUAAGCUAAUCUCUUAAAGUCAUUCUCAGUUCGGAUUGUAGGCUGCAACUCGCCUACAUGAAGUCGGAAUCGCUAGUAAUCGCGGAUCAGCAUGCCGCGGUGAAUACGUUCCCGGGCCUUGUACACACCGCCCGUCACACCAUGAGAGUUUGUAACACCCAAAGUCGGUGGGGUAACCUUUUAGGAACCAGCCGCCUAAGGUGGGACAGAUGAUUAGGGUG
rnacentral:rRNA from 1 species